rnacentral:rRNA from 1 species
GACGAACGCUGGCGGCGUGCUUAACACAUGCAAGUCGAACGGUGACGGAGAGCUUGCUCUCCUGAUCAGUGGCGAACGGGUGAGUAACACGUGGGCAACCUGCCCCAGACUUCGGGAUAACGCUUCGAAAGAGGUGCUAAUACCGAAUACGAACGCCGUGGGCAGUCACGGGGUUGGACAGUUUGUCGGUCUGGGAUGGGCCCGCGGCGGAUCAGCUUGUGGGUGAGGUAAUGGCUCACCAAGGCGACGACGGGUAGCCGGCCUGAGAGGGCGACCGGCCACACUGGGACUGAGACACGGCCCAGACUCCUACGGGAGGCAGCAGUGGGGAAUAUUGCGCAAUGGGCGAAAGCCUGACGCAGCAACGCCGCGUGGGGGAUGAAGGCCUUCGGGUUGUAAACCUCUUUCAGCAGGGAAGAAGCGAAAGUGACGGUACCUGCAGAAGAAGCACCGGCUAACUACGUGCCAGCCGCCGCGGUAA